rnacentral:rRNA from 1 species
CCUACGGGCGGCUGCAGUGAGGAAUAUUGGUCAAUGGACGAGAGUCUGAACCAGCCAAGUAGCGUGAAGGAUGACUGCCCUAUGGGUUGUAAACUUCUUUUAUAUGGGAAUAAAAUGUUCCACGUGUGGGAUUUUGUAUGUACUAUAUGAAUAAGGAUCGGCUAACUCCGUGCCAGCAGCCGCGGUAAUACGGAGGAUCCGAGCGUUAUCCGGAUUUAUUGGGUUUAAAGGGAGCGUAGGUGGAUUGUUAAGUCAGUUGUGAAAGUUUGCGGCUCAACCGUAAAAUUGCAGUUGAGACUGGCAGUCUUGAGUACAGUAGAGGUGGGCGGAAUUCGUGGUGUAGCGGUGAAAUGCUUAGAUAUCACGAAGAACUCCGAUUGCGAAGGCAGUUCACUAGACUGCAACUGACACUGAGGCUCGAAAGUGUGGGUAUCAAACAGGAUUAGAUACCCCAGUAGUC